rnacentral:tRNA from 1 species
GGGGCUGGUUGAUAAGCGGUCAUUGCCCCUUUUAAUCCGCGGGUUGUCGGUUCGAGUCCGACGGGGCCUACCA